rnacentral:rRNA from 1 species
CCCGCACAAGCGGUGGAGCAUGUGGUUUAAUUCGACGCAACGCGAAGAACUUACCAGGCUUGACAUCCCCUGACCGCGUAUGAAAGUACGUUUUCACCCUCGGGUGACAGGGAGACAGGUGGUGCAUGGUUGUCGUCAGCUCGUGUCGUGAGAUGUUGGGUUAAGUCCCGCAACGAGCGCAACCCUUAUCUUUAGUUGCCAUCAGGUAAUGCUGGGCACUCUAGAGAGACUGCCGGUGACAAACCGGAGGAAGGUGGGGAUGACGUCAAAUCAUCAUGCCCCUUAUGUCCUGGGCUACACACGUACUACAAUGGCCGGUACAAAGGGCGGCGAAGGGGUGACCUGGAGCAAAUCCCAGCAAAACCGGUCUCAGUUCGGAUUGUAGUCUGCAACUCGACUACAUGAAGUCGGAAUCGCUAGUAAUCGCAGGUCAGCAUACUGCGGUGAAUACGUUCCCGGGCCUU